ACAAUAUAUCAAAAUGACAAACACAUUUUUUUUUAAAGUAAGGCACACUAUAUUAAAAUGUUAAACACAAUAUAUUAGAAUAAUAUGCUUCACAUCUGUUUAACCACAAUUUCCACAUUUUAAAAAUCCUUUUCCUGCAAAUAUCGAAUCAGAUUUUAACAACACGCCUAAGAGAAAUAAAAAGUUCAGUAAAAACAUACGAAGGUACCCCCCCCCCCAAAUUUAAAAAA
rnacentral:lncRNA from 1 species